GAGAGAUGGCUGAGUGGUCGAAGGCGGCGGUCUCGAAAACCGUUAACGGGGUUACCCGUUCAGGGGUUCGAAUCCCCUUCUCUCC
rnacentral:tRNA from 1 species